GCGUGGGGGACCCACAGGGGUGUGCGGGGGACAGCAGCCCCCUUGAGCAGGAACGCCUCUCAAGGUUAUGCCUCGAGGCUGAGAGAUCCCGUACCUGACACCAGGCGCCGAAUGGCGGAUACCUACAGAUACUGAUUAGAAUUCAGUCAACUAACGCCUAGACCAGCUCUGGCUGAGUGACCUUGGACUCCUCUUCUGCGACAGCGAUGGCGGCUUGUGGAGUGGCUGGAAGAAAACGGGCAUAUUAUGAGCAAUCCAGGCCGAAUAACUUGGUUGUAAUAACAGGCUGCAGCCCUAACAAGCUGCAGGUGUUAUGAAGGACUUAUGCAAGGCCAAGGGAGAUAAAGAAACUGUGUAUUCACAGAGAGAUAAGAGAAUAGGACAGAAAGAUGAGAAAAAACGGGAUGCUUGCACAAGGGGGGAGCAGCGUGUGGGCACCACACCGGGACCAGUCAUAAGGGAGGUGGAAGUGUGUGAACGGGUAGUUUUAACCGAUCACUUUUUAAAUAACAAAGCCUAUGUAGCGUGUGUAUCGUUUGCUGAGAGUAUAAAUUGCUGUAAGCCUUUUAAUAAAGUGGCACUAACUUGA